UAGCUAGUUGGUGAGGUAAAGGCUUACCAAGGCGACGAUCUGUAGCGGGUCUGAGAGGAUGAUCCGCCACACUGGAACUGAGACACGGUCCAGACUCCUACGGGAGGCAGCAGUGGGGAAUUUUGGACAAUGGGGGCAACCCUGAUCCAGCCAUGCCGCGUGAGUGAAGAAGGCCUUCGGGUUGUAAAGCUCUUUCGGCCGGGAAGAAAUCGCAUGGGCCAAUACCCAGUGUGGAUGACGGUACCGGAAUAAGAAGCACCGGCUAACUACGUGCCAGCAGCCGCGGUAAUACGUAGGGUGCGAGCGUUAAUCGGAAUUACUGGGCGUAAAGCGUGCGCAGGCGGUUUUGUAAGACAGGCGUGAAAUCCCCGGGCUUAACCUGGGAACUGCGUUUGUGACUGCAAGGCUAGAGUACGGCAGAGGGGGGUGGAAUUCCACGUGUAGCAGUGAAAUGCGUAGAGAUGUGGAGGAACACCAAUGGCGAAGGCAGCCCCCUGGGUCGAUACUGACGCUCAUGCACGAAAGCGUGGGUAGCAAACAGGAUUAGAUACCCUGGUAGUCCACGCCCUAAACUAUGUCAACUAGGUGUUGGGUGGGUAAAACCAUUUAGUACCGUAGCUAACGCGUGAAGUUGACCGCCUGGGGAGUACGGCCGCAAGGUUAAAACUCAAAGGAAUUGACGGGGACCCGCACAAGCGGUGGAUGAUGUGGAUUAAUUCGAUGCAACGCGAAAAACCUUACCUACCCUUGACAUGCCAGGAACUUGCCAGAGAUGGCUUGGUGCCCGAAAGGGAGCCUGGACACAGGUGCUGCAUGGCUGUCGUCAGCUCGUGUCGUGAGAUGUUGGGUUAAGUCCCGCAACGAGCGCAACCCUUGUCGUUAAUUGCCAUCAUUUAGUUGGGCACUUUAACGAGACUGCCGGUGACAAACCGGAGGAAGGUGGGGAUGACGUCAAGUCCUCAUGGCCCUUAUGGGUAGGGCUUCACACGUCAUACAAUGGUCGGUACAAAGGGUUGCCAAGCCGCGAGGCGGAGCCAAUCCCAGAAAGCCGAUCGUAGUCCGGAUUGCAGGCUGCAACUCGCCUGCAUGAAGUCGGAAUCGCUAGUAAUCGUGGAUCAGCAUGUCACGGUGAAUACGUUCCCGGGUCUUGUACACACCGCCCGUCACACCAUGGGAGCGGGUUCCGCCAGAAGUAGGUAGCCUAACCGCAAGGGGGGCGCUUACCACGGCGGGGUUCGUGACUGGGGUGAAGUCGUAACAAGGUAGCCGUAGGGGAACCUGCGGCUG
rnacentral:rRNA from 1 species